UACACACCUUGAAACUUAGGGGUUGUUAGU
rnacentral:piRNA from 1 species